rnacentral:ncRNA from 1 species
GGUUAAGUUAGAAAGGGCGCACGGUGGAUGCCUUGGCACUAGGAGCCGAUGAAGGACGGGACUAACACCGAUAUGCUUCGGGGAGCUGUAAGUAAGCUUUGAUCCGGAGAUUUCCGAAUGGGGGAACCCACUGCUCGUAAUGGAGCAGUAUCUUUACCUGAAUACAUAGGGUAUUGAAGGCAGACCCGGGGAACUGAAACAUCUAAGUACCCGGAGGAAGAGAAAGCAAACGCGAUUCCCUGAGUAGCGGCGAGCGAAACGGGAACAGCCCAAACCGAAAGGCUUGCCUUUCGGGGUUGUAGGACACUCAACAUGGAGUUACAAAGGAACGGGGUAAAUGAAGCGAUCUGGAAAGGUCCGUCAUAGAAG